rnacentral:miRNA from 2 species
AUCAGGGCUUGUGGAAUGGGA